UCAGGCCAGCCGGGCGGCUGCGGGUUUGGAGUCGUCGGCGGGUUGGGUUGCUGCGGUGUUGCUGGUAGCUCGGCCGUUGGCGGCGGACCGGACGCAUACGUGCCGGGGCGCCGAGGGCUGCGGCGUGACGGGCGCCCGGUUCUGCCUGCAGGUGCGCGCAGGUGCCGGCAGGUGCGCGGGGCGCGACCCCCAGAGCGGCCGGCCGCGGAGCCUCGGGAGGUGAGAGGGCGGGGAGCCCACCUGUGCGGGAGCCCUGAGCUCGGCUUACCCCGGAACAGCGCCGCGCGUCCUUCCCGCAGAGGGGCUCCGAAGGGCUCUGCGCGACGUGCUGGGUGCACUUAAGCCCUUAAGUCUAAGGCGAUAAGGUGCUGCCAUGCGCGGCCUCGUUCGCCGGAGAACAGGGAUUAAAACUUAACCCCUGUGGGGGCCGGGGGAACAGAGCCCCUUCCUCUGAAGUGGCCGGCGCCGGAGGGGCCUCGGGCCGGCGGGCUGGGGCUUCCGAGCAGCCGCUCGGGAGAGGCCCAGCGCAGCAGGUGCUGAACACACGGAACUCGGGCUCGCUUUCGGUAUUUGUAAGAUCCGGACAUUUCACGUAUAGUUUCCUAAUACAAAUUUAUGCGCAGACCAAAUAAAUUCUGCAGAGUGAUUUUGGCCCAGAGGCCUCUCCUUUGUCACCCUGUUUUAGACUACAGCUUAUUUUGAAUGAAAACGAGACAAAUAUGUUCAUUUUCUAAGUCUUAAUGUAAUGAUUAGGAAGUCUUUCAACAAUUAUUGGACUAGUUCAGAGGGGUGAGUCGGGCGUGUAAAGGGCCCUUCUCCCCAUAGCCCUUCUCCUCUCGCCACCCUCCCGCGGCCUCCGUGACCCCCCGCUCCGUGGCUCGCCUCGCCACCCUCCCGCGGCCUCCAUGACCCCCCCAACGUGGCUCGCCUCGCCACCCUCCCGCGGCCUCCAUGACCCCCCCCACGUGGCUCGCCUCGCCACCCUCCCGCGGCCUCCAUGACUCCCUCUCCUCCGUGGCUCGGCUCCCCUCGCCACCCUCCCGCGGGCCUCCGCGACCACCACCCGCUCCCAACUCUGGCUGCCUCCUUGGCCACUGGUUGUACUCCAGCCUCAGGGACCUGACCUCUGUGCCUGAGCCAGGCAGGGGAGAACUUAGGACCUCUCACACCCUCUCUAAUUCACUUAUUUAUUACAAAUCUCAGCGGCAGCGGGGUUUUGCUCUUUUGUUCUCACUGCUGGCGCUGCCUGCUGGCGCUGCCUGGCCCAGGGCAGUGGUGGGUGUUUGUUGUAGAGCUCAGGGGGAAGCAGACUAUGGUCACCGUCCAAAUCCUGCCGCCACCUGUUUUGGUUCAGACUACGGGCUAAGAAUGUCUUCUCAGUCUUUAAUGGCUGGGGGAAACAAUAAUAAUAUUUCAUGACAUGAAAAUUCUGUGAAAUGCAAAUGUCGCUGUGCUCGCUCGAGGUUUCCUGGAACACGGGCGUGCCCACCCAUUCACGGGCCACCUGCAGCUGCUUUUGCCAUGCAGGCCACGUUGAGGAGCUGCAGUAGAGGCCCUAUGACUGGCAAAGCUAGCAAUAUUUGCUAUCCAGCCCUUUACAGAAAAAGUUGCCAACUCCUGCGAUAGAUGAACGAGCAGCCUCUCCCUGGUUCCUCCGCUGGUCAUUCCUCCACUGACUCUCUCAAGGAGGUCCCUGUCUCAGAGUCAAAGCCAGAGUUCUUACAGCCAUGGUGGCCAGGCCCACACUGCCUGACUCCUACUGCCCUGGCACUGCCCGGCCCUCGUUGACUCUGCUCCAGCCACACCGUCCUCUUCUGGGUCCCACCUCAGGGACUUUGCACUGGCUGUGUCCCCGCUGGAAUGCUCCUCCCCAGACGUCUGCCCAUCUCACCCCUUACCUCUUCAGAUCUUUGCCCACACGUCACUGUCCUGGGACGGGGGGCUCUCCCUGCUCUUUCCCUGUAAAGCAGUGCCCCACCCAGCCUCAUUCUUCUCUGACGUUGACUUGUUCAUGGUCAGCCUCCCUGAGUAGAAUGAACGCUCCAGGAGAGCAGGGCCUUCUCUUCCUGUGCGAUGUACGAUGCCCAGCGCUGAGAAGAGGAAACACCCCCUGAGUCUUGGCGGGAUGGGUUGGUUGAGUCCCCACCAUUGCCCGGCACUGAUCUGAUGUGGACAUAAAAGAUUCUCCUGGCAGAAUGGCAGCUCUUCCCCGAGGGACUCACCAGGCCCACGCUCUGUCCUUCAGCCACAGGUACCUUUCACAUCCUGCAGUUCGGUCAGGUGUGGCCUGCUCUGACCUCACCUAGGAAGGAUUUUUGUUCUGAACCCAGGGUGGCCAUAUAACUUAAUGCCCAAAUGGGGCACCGUGGGCAUGAAAUGGGGCGCUAUACUCAUGAGACUGGCACCAACAUAAACUGGACUGUUCCAGUGAGUCAGGACAACGUGUGGCCUUGUCAGCUGCUGCGGGGCAUUCAUGUAUCAAAUCCUUGAUGAGCACUUUCUGUGUGCCCAAGAUGCUGGAUCUUAUUUUUAAUUUAAACUGAACAAAAGUGUGACCUCCUGGAUUUUAUCCGAGUUUGAGCACAGACUUGGAGCCCCGGGAAAGAGGGAGGGGUUUGUGCCCUGCCUGGUACUGGGCGCGAUGUGUAGUCUACGCUCAGGCAACAUGGGGAAUAAAGAGUGACCGACCACCUGCUCUGAGGUCACUGAGGCCACCGAGGCAGAGGACUGACCUGCAGCACCCUCGGUGGCCCUGAUGGCUCUCUGUCCGUGUGGGCCGCACUGUGGUCCUUGGAGGGGGUUCACCCCAUACUCAGCUUCCCAUCACGUGACCUUGGGCAAGUUUCUCAAAUGUGAAUUGAGAUUGCAAGCCCAGCUCGGGGGCUGUGAGGUUGAUGGUGUCACGUGUGGAAGCAGCUGGGCCCCCUGGCCCUGGUGACCGCAUCUAGGGUCCUGAGGGCCAGGCCUGAAGUGAGGGCAGCUGCACCGUGGAGCGCCGUGGUUUGGGGGUGGACACCUGCCUGUCUCCUGCUGCGGGUGCCGUGGGCAGCCCUGCAGCUGAGAACUCAGAGUCCAUGGACCUCCUGGAGUGCAGGGCUUUGUGGUUCCGGGACCGUGAAAGGGGUCCACCUCUGUUGUCCUCAGCACACGUCCCUGCCUUUCCCUCAGGGCAGCAAGAAUGUGUGUGUGUGUGUGUGUGUGUGUGUGUGUGUGUGUGUGUGUGCGCGCAGGAGGGGGACAGCUCUGCCAGCAGGCCACGUGGGGAAGACCCCAGGUGGGUCCAGGUGGAAGGGAAGCCGUCAGGCUGCAGGAGGGGGCUCCAGGGUGCCAAGCACCUACCACGUUGUCCCCGUUGUCCGUGGGACCCCCCACCCCACACAGAAGGCAGUGUCAUUGCUCACGUCGGGGAAGAGGACCCCGAGCUGGAGGGGGUGAGGGCUUCCCCGAGGUCACAGAGCUGGCAGGGGUGGAGCUGGUUCACACAAGGUCUGGGGCGCCAUGCUGGGGCCCCAGGGGGAGGUUCUGAGGCGUCUCCCUGAAGUUGGUGUGGAAUCGGGGCAGCGGGAACAAAACAGCCCCAGCCACGGGCGGUCUCGGGUGUGACUCUGGGUCCAGGUGGGCAGGGGCUUGGGAACCCCUGCAAGGACCACCCGUGCCAUGCAGGCAUCAGCGGGGUCCCCCGGGGGGCCCUCCACAAGGCUCUUCUGAACGGAACCCCUGAGUCAUUCUGCAACACUGACCCCAGCUCCUCACCUGGGGGCGGGCCCUUCAAGGCCAGGCUUGCCCUCCCCACCCUGCGCCCACCCUAGGCCUCCCAGGAGCUGGGGCAUUGGCAGGUUGGAAGGAAGGGUGCAGGGGUGUCGGAGCCCAAGGGGGCCUUGGGCAGCCUGGGUUGGGGAGGAGAAGUUUUCCCUGGGUGCUCUGUGGCUGCCCAGUCCAGUUGGGAUGAUGCCCUCAGGGUUUGGAGGGCUGCAAGGUUGGAGUGGGGGGGCGGGGUGGAAGAGGGACGGGGGGAGAGUGAGCCCUCCUGGGCUUGGGUCCGGGCUACGGGAGGGACUGAGGGGAUGGGAGGGAGGACCCCAAGGCCACAGACUCACUCUUGCCCGCCCACCGGCCCACCUGCCUUCCCAUGGCUUCGCUCCCACCCUGCUCCAGGCUCCACACCCCAGUAAGUCAGCCGGAGAGCCGGGGAGGGGGCCAGGCUCCGUACCAUCCCCACGCAGGUACCCCUGCAUCCAGGUAUCACCUCAGCACCCCUCCGGCCUCCUGGGGUGGACGGGGCCUAGAGUGGGGCUCCAGGCCCCCAGGCCCAGCAGAGAGGAAGAGCCUCUGCGGCUUCCACUGCAUCCAGGUAUCACCUCAGCACCCCUCCGGCCUCGUGGGGUGGGCGGGGCCUAGAGUGGGGCUCCAGGCCCCCAGGCCCAGCAGAGAGGAAGUGCCUCUGCGGCUUCCACUGUUGAGCUGGUUUCAUCAUCACUUCGUGCUGUGCUGUGGGAGGCAGGAGAGCUCCAGCCCUUGCAGUAGACGUGUGACGUGUCCCGGUGGCUUUUCUCUGGGGCGGAGGGAGCGCAGGGCCGGGCGUGGCCUUCCUCCCUUGGGGCUAAGGAGCUGCAGGGCCUGCACUUAACUCCUCCGGCCCUAGGACCUCAUGGCGGCACCAGAUGGUCCUUGUCUCCACGCAGGAGGUGCUGUUGAUGUCAUGGUGCUGCCAGCUUGGGGAGUGAAGACCGGAAACAGGCGAUCCAGGGCCCCCCGGCGCAGGGUGCUGAAAGAAGUGGCAAUUAGCACGUCUGAGCCUCCUUGUUGGGCCGGUACAACUAAGCCACGUGGGGUUUCCCAAGGACCAAGGCCGCAAAAUCCACUUCUGUCUGGAGACGUCACCAUGAGGAAUGUACGGCUGAGCCGCUCGCGUGUCUGAGGUUCACGUUGCUCUUGCCUGCAGCGCCUGUGCGUGUAGUGGUUGACAAUCUGCCUGCCAAUGCAGGGGACACGGGUUUGAG